AGGAACUCGGCAAACACUUAAAGCCUCGCCUGUUUACCAAAAACAUCGCCUCUUGCAAGACCAACGAAUAAGAGGUCCCGCCUGCCCUGUGACUAUAUGUUUAACGGCCGCGGUAUUUUGACCGUGCGAAGGUAGCGCAAUCACUUGUCUUUUAAAUGGAGACCCGUAUGAAUGGCUCCACGAGGGCUUAGCUGUCUCCCCCUCCCAGUCAAUGAAAUUGAUCUCCCCGUGCAGAAGCGGGGAUACUUACAUAAGACGAGAAGACCCUAUGGAGCUUAAGGCGCCAGGACAGCUCAUGUUAAACACCCCUAGAUAAAGGAAUGAACCUAGUGAAUCCUGCCCCAGUGUUUUUGGUUGGGGCGACCGCGGGGAAAUACAAAACCCCCAUGUGGAGUAGGAACACUAUAUGUUCCCAAACCCAAGAGCUACCGCUCUAAUAAACAGAAUUUCUGACCAGCUAAGAUCCGGCAAUGCCGAUCAACGGAAGGAGUUACCCUAGGGAUAACAGCGCAAUCCUCUUAAAGAGUCCUUAUCGACAAGGGGGUUUACGACCUCGAUGUUGGAUCAGGACAUCCUAAUGGUGCAGCCGCUAUUAAGGGUUCGUUUGUUCAACGAUUAAAGUCCUACGUGAUCUGAGUUCAGACCGGAGUAAUCCAGGUCAGUUUCUAUCUAUGAGAGUGAUCUUUUCUAGUACGAAAGGACCGAAAAGGAAAAGCCCCUGCCCAACGCACGCCUUACCUUCACCUACUGAAAACAACUAAAGUA
rnacentral:rRNA from 1 species